CCUACGGGCGGCAGCAGUGGGGAAUAUUGGACAAUGGGGGGAACCCUGAUCCAGCCAUGCCGCGUGUGUGAAGAAGGCCCUCGGGUUGUAAAGCACUUUCAGUGAGGAAGAACGCCUGGUGGUUAAUACCCAUCAGGAAAGACAUCACUCACAGAAGAAGCACCGGCUAACUCCGUGCCAGCAGCCGCGGUAAUACGGAGGGUGCGAGCGUUAAUCGGAAUUACUGGGCGUAAAGCGCGCGUAGGUGGCUUGAUAAGCCGGUUGUGAAAGCCCCGGGCUCAACCUGGGAACGGCAUCCGGAACUGUCAAGCUAGAGUGCAGGAGAGGAAGGUAGAAUUCCCGGUGUAGCGGUGAAAUGCGUAGAGAUCGGGAGGAAUACCAGUGGCGAAGGCGGCCUUCUGGACUGACACUAACACUGAGGUGCGAAAGCGUGGGUAGCAAACAGGAUUAGAUACCCCAGUAGUC
rnacentral:rRNA from 1 species